rnacentral:rRNA from 1 species
AUACGGAGGGUGCGAGCGUUGUUCGGAAUUAUUGGGCGUAAAGAGCAUGUAGGCGGUCUGUUAAGUCUGGUGUGAAAGCCCGGGGCUCAACCCCGGAAGUGCAUUGGAUACUGGCAGACUUGAGUAUGGGAGAGGAAAGCGGAAUUCCGAGUGUAGGAGUGAAAUCCCUAGAUAUUCGGAGGAACACCAGUGGCGAAGGCGGCUUUCUGGACCAAUACUGACGCUGAGAUGCGAAAGCGUGGGGAGCAAACAGGAUUAGAAACCCCAGUAGUCC